AAUACCGAAUACACCCUGCUGGCUGCAUGGUCUGGUUGGGGAAAGCUUUUGCGGUGUGGGAUGGGCCCGCGGCCUAUCAGCUUGUUGGUGAGGUUACGGCUCACCAAGGCGACGACGGGUAGCCGGCCUGAGAGGGUGACCGGCCACACUGGGACUGAGAUACGGCCCAGACUCCUACGGGAGGCAGCAGUGGGGAAUAUUGCACAAUGGGCGCAAGCCUGAUGCAGCGACGCCGCGUGRGGGAUGACGGCCUUCGGGUUGUAAACCUCUUUCACCAGGGACGAAGCGCAAGUGACGGUACCUACAGAAGAAGGACCGGCCAACUACGUGCCAGCAGCCGCGGUAAU
rnacentral:rRNA from 1 species